rnacentral:rRNA from 1 species
UACGGAGGGGGCUAGCGUUGUUCGGAAUUACUGGGCGUAAAGCGCACGUAGGCGGCUUUGUAAGUCAGAGGUGAAAUCCCGGGGCUCAACUCCGGAACUGCCUUUGAGACUGCAUCGCUUGAAUCCAGGAGAGGUGAGUGGAAUUCCGAGUGUAGAGGUGAAAUUCGUAGAGAUCCGGAAGAACACCGGUGGCGAAGGCGGCCUGCUGGGACAUGGCUGACGCUGAGGCGCGACAGCGUGGGGGAGCAAACAGG